GUGCUCACUUCCUAUUUUAGCACAUAUACUAAAAUAGGAAAGAUAGAGAAGAUUAGCAUGGCCCCUGCACAAGGAUGACAUGCAAAUUUGUGAAGCGUUCCAUAUUUUU